rnacentral:tRNA from 1 species
GGGUCUGUAGCUCAGUGGUUAGUAGCAGCGAACUAAUAAUUCGUUGGUCGUGAGUUCAAAUCCCACCGACCCACCA